GUGGGGAAUUUUGGACAAUGGGCGCAAGCCUGAUCCAGCAAUGCCGCGUGCAGGAAGAAGGCCUUCGGGUUGUAAACUGCUUUUGUACGGAACGAAACGGUCCUGGUUAAUACCCGGGGCUAAUGACGGUACCGUAAGAAUAAGCACCGGCUAACUACGUGCCAGCAGCCGCGGUAAUACGUAGGGUGCAAGCGUUAAUCGGAAUUACUGGGCGUAAAGCGUGCGCAGGCGGUGCUGUAAGACAGGCGUGAAAUCCCCGGGCUUAACCUGGGAAUUGCGCUUGUGACUGCAGUGCUGGAGUGCGGCAGAGGGGGAUGGAAUUCCGCGUGUAGCAGUGAAAUGCGUAGAUAUGCGGAGGAACACCGAUGGCGAAGGCAGCCCCCUGGGAUAAUACUGACGCUCAUGCACUAAAGCGUGGGUAGCAAACAGGAUUAGAUACCAUUGUAGUCC
rnacentral:rRNA from 1 species